GAAUUUUCACCUAUUCACUUAAAGGAAGCACUUUAUGUCUUCUCUUUAUCAUAUCUGUAUUGCCAGGGGUACUACUCUUUCACUUUGGGCCCUUAUUAAGUAAAAUAGGAGUUAUUUGAACACAAACACUGUGCAACAUGGCAGUGAAAGUGAUAAUGAAAAUGGCUCAUUGGAGAAUAGUAUAGGUAGUCUGGAUCUGCUGGAUGAAGAGAUAAUUCACAUCCUAUAGGGACAGCUCAAGAUUUUAACACACUGCUCAGACUGGCACACAAUUUAAAACUUAUGAAUUAUUUAUUUCUGGAAUUUUUCAUUUAGUGUAUUUGGACCUCAGUUGACCACGCUGGUAACUGAAACUCUAGAAAGCAAAACAGCAGAAAAGCUUCGAUUCCUGUGCCAAAAUUUAUAUUGGGAUUUAAUUGCUGGUAUAACCAUCUGCCACAAACUCAGUGGCUUUAAAUAAAACAAAUUUAUUGUCUUAUAACUUUUGAGGUCAAGAGUCUAAAAUGAGUCUUACUUGGUGUGAUGGACUAAGUGUUCGUGUCCCUCCAAAAUUCAUAUGUUGAAGUCCAAACCUCCAAUGCUACUGUAUUUGGAAAUGGAGCCUAUAAGAAAGGAAUUAAGAUUAAAUGAGGUCAUAAGGAUGGAGCCCUGAUCCCAAAGGGUUAGUGUCCUCAUAACAAGAGUCACCAUAGAGCUCUGUCACUUUCUGGGUACAAGCACCAAGGGAAGACAGAGUGAGAAGGUGGCCAUGUCUAAAUCAAGAAGUGAGCUCUCACCAGAAACAUACCAUGCUAACACCUUGAUCGUGAACUUCUAACAUCCAGUUCUGUGAGAAAAUAAAUUUCUGCAUUUAAGCUCUCUGGUCUGUGGUAAUUUAUUUGGGCAGCCUGAGUAGAUUAAUACAUUGGGUUAACAUCAAGUUAUUGGAAGAGUUUCGUUGUUUCUGGAAGCACUAGGGAAGAAUCUGUUUCUUUAUCUUUUCAUCUUUUAGAGGCCACCUCUAUUUCUUGACUUGUGUUCUCCUUCCAUCUUCAAAAGCAAAUGCUUCUACUGUAAUAUCUCCAUUCUGAUUUCCAUUCUGCUUUCCUCUCCCACAUUUAAAGGAAGCUUGGGAUUACAUUUGCCCACCUGAAUAAUGCAGGAUAAUCUACCUAUUUUAAGGAUACCUGAUUAGCAUUAUCUAAAAUAUUUUAAGGUACACAAAUCAUAUUUAUAAGUCAUUAGAUAUUAAACCUCCUUACUAGAAAAAAAUGAUGGAAAGCAGAUGUUUUAAGGGUGAAAAUUUUUUUGUGUGGACCAAAUGAAUGACUACUUUAUGUGACUUAUAGAAUAAUCUUUAUUUUAUAGUUAUACCUGCCAUUAGUGGAGCCUAAAUAAGUAAUGUGUUAUAGAUACUAUUGAUGCAAAUGGAAUAACUGAUACAGAAGACCAGUAAUAGCAGUCUUUAGUUAGGUUGCUAUCCCUGUCCUCUAUAUUUAUCAGGAAUUUCAGCCACCUGCAGGCUAGCUGAGUGGAGAAAAAGUAGUUACAAUUUACAUAAAUAAGAAAUAAAGAAAAAAAAUUAAAAAAAAAACACUUUGUGUGGGAUUUGCAUCAGCUGCAUUCAUUGGCCAGUUUUAUAAUCUGUGACUCAAAAUCUAACAUGUACACCCUGGAGACUUGAGUUCUUAAGCAAUUCCUGCAGAUUCCUGUUUGUUUUCCUGUUUAAUAUUACUCAUGCCAGAUCACACCCUGACUUCUAGGCAUGAACGAUGUGAAUGAGGUUAUCUCAGAGAAACUCUUCAUCAGGGUGCCAGCCAGAAUGGGCAGAACAAGGUAAACCUGAUGCCAAUAGAAGAUUAAAGGAGAUAUCUUAUAUCUCUGUGUUUGUAUGUCUCUGAGAGUUUUGUUUUAUGACUCAAAUGGACCAGAACUGAAUCUGCUAACUAGGGCUCAUGACUCAACUGCCUGAUGGGGCCAGGCAAAUAAGAUAAAUACACAAUGCUGUAGCUGUCUUAAAAGAGCCAAGAAUGAGCAAAGACAGGACACCGAAAGUGCAGCUCAGCUAAUGUCUCUCAAAUUAAAAACAAAGAUGCAAACAAUUUUUUCCGGCUAAGUCCUCACCUGUUCUGACCUGAUUUGGCCCAGAGGUCCCCAUUUGCACUGACCUAACAAUUGUGUGUCACACCCAUUCCCUACUUUCAGAAGCAAAUGACUUAUAAACACAUGCAUGUAUUCAUAGAACUAAUUACCUUCAAAAUUCUUAAUAGAAUGUUUUUUGUUGUGGCUACUUGGAUCUGCCUAUCUUAGAUUCUUCCUAACAGCAACUUUGAGAGACAGUGGGUUGUGGGCCACACAGAGGACCAAACCGUUUCAACUUACCUGUCAGGUAGCCAUUCCAUAUGUAGUUUCCAGAAACUCUUCUGUUUCAAAUGUCGAUAUCCAUAACUGACAAUUCCCCUUUGUUUAUGUAUAUAGUCCUUUUCAUUGCUGAUCUAAUUGAGAUUUUAAAACUCGCACCAAGAAAUUGUAGUCUUCAGGCAAAAGGAUCUAUAACCUCACUGAUGCUUCAUUGCUACUUAUCUAAUAUGAGAUAAAAUCCUGCUCUCUUUUUGUAGAAUAUGCCCAGGUUUCUGGGUUUAGUAUACUAUAACUCUGAGAGACCCUCAUAGAUCUUCAGUAUACAAAGCAGGAAGCAGAUAUUUAUGUUUGUAUCUAGGGGACGCAGAAAUAAACAACAUAAAUGCAGAAUAAAAAAGCCUUCAACCCCAUCUUUCUUCUGAUUUAUAAUUAAACAUUUGUGUAAAAUUUGUCUGUACAGGCCUCUUCUUUCCUGCCCUGAUGCACUUUUUCCAUCUAUACUCCCCACUCUCCUUCAUGACCCAUCACAGUACCUUCUCCUGUUUCUCUUUGGGAUAUCUGGGUUCUCUUUUUAGCUCUUUCAUUAAUAAAUCUAAAUGACCACACAAUAUCUCUAAGGCCCAUCUUUUUGACCUAUUAAACUGAGAUGAGAGUUGAACUAGGAAUAAUCUACAAGGUUCCACACUAAACUAACUACAAAUCUUUUUUUUUUUAAUGUAUGAGAUUCCAUGAAUCAAGCCAGAAUUUUCCUCCAGAAUUAAUAAACUUUUAAUUUGGCUGAAGCAUAAUACAAUAUACCUAUUCUCUCUAAGGAUUCAGAUAAAUCAUCCAUUUUAUUUAAUUGCAUGGUCAUCACUUUUUUGAAGAUUUCUGUUAUAGAAAGUAAAUUGUGUCAGUGUUUAAAAGAUGUUUGUAUUUUAUGUUCACCAGCAUCAACAUAUUGCUUUAUUAAACUAGAGAUAAUCAAAAAUAGAGCAACAAUUUAGAGUUGAGAUUUUUUGAGAAAACGAUUGAAAGAUAACCAAUUUAUUCAGCAUGAUUGCUUUUCAUCUUUUUGUUUGGUGAUGUGUUAAAAAAAUCAACAAAGCAUUACUUAGCAAACAUUAAAAAUGUGUAUUUAUAUAUACAUAUACAACAACACAUAUAAUAUUACACUGUAUAAAACCAAUAUACUUAUUGAAAAUGUAGAAACAUUGAUAAAUAGGUAAUUGGAAUUUUUUAAAAGUGUGUUUGUCAUUUAUAUGUUUGUAUAUUUACCAGUGCACACAAAUGCUGUAUUUUGAUUUGUUUCCUACUAAUAGUCUCCUUACAUAUGUUGAUUAUUCUACAUACACAUUUAGAGUAAGAGUGUCUGAAAAUAUGCUUCUCAAUAAAAGCAAUCAGAACACUGGUAAAACCUGUCAAAUCAAUUUCCAGAACUUGGAAAAUUAACCCAAGACUUGCAACAAUGUGAAGAACAUUUGUUCAAGAAAAAUGGGAAAAUCUCUGUAAGAAGAUUGAGCUUUGUGACAUUUUAACUUAUCCUAUUUCCAUCACCUCCUUCUCAGCAUUACAGAAACCUUGAAAAUCAACUACCUUGAAGUCACAGUAGCCAUAAUGUGAUUGAUAGAAUAAUGGCUCCCAAGGAUGUGCAUAUUAUAAUCUCCCCAGUUAUAAUUACCUUGCCCUAAAUGGCAAAAGUGACUGUGUGUAUGUGAUUUAAGUUAAGGCUCCUAGGAUGGAGAAAUUUUCUUGUAUUAUCUGUGAGGCCUUGAUAUAAUCACAGGUGUCCUUAUAGGAAGAAGGCAAAAAGUAAAAGGGGGAAGGAGGUGCUAUGCUGCUGACUUUGAAGAUGGAGGAAGGGGUCCACAAACCAAGGGACGCAAGCAGCCUCUGGAAGAUGGGUAAGGCCAGAAAAAAAUGAAACAAAACAAACCUGAAACAAAACAUAUUUUUUCUUUCCUUAGAGCCCUUACAAAGAAGAGAGUCCUGCUGAUUCAAUUUAGAAUUCUUAAUUUCAUUACUCUAAUAUGAUAUAUGUAUUGUUUUAAGCCACCAAGUAUGUUGUGAUAUGUUAUAGCAGCAACAGGAAAUUAAUACAGAUUUUGGUACUUGAAAGUGGGACAUUGAUUGCUAUAGCAAGUACCUAAAAAUACAUAAGUGGCUUUGGAAUUGUGUAAUGAGUUAAAGCUGGAAGAACUUUGAGAAGCAUAAUAGAAAAUUCCUGGAUUACUUUAAAAGACUGUUAGUGGAAAUAUAGUUAUUAACAGUACUGUAUGUGAGGGCUUAGAAGGAAAUGAAGAAGUUAUAGGAAACAUGAAGAAACUGUAUUUUUCCUGGAUUAUGAUAGAAUGCUUAACCAAACUGUGCUACAAUGUAUUUUGAAAGAUAAAUUUGUAGGGCAUGAACUUGGAAUUGAGAUUCCUAGAAAAGUGUUGAAAUUCCUUUUGUUUAUGGUACACUGUGGAAAAACAAAAAGAAGAGAGAAAAAAAUAUACUGAGAGACCUUUUCGCCAAAAGGAAUCAGGAGUUGAUGAUUUAGAAGAUUUCCAUCUUAUCAGAUUCCCACGACACUAAAAUUAGCACAUUCAAUGUCAGGAAAUUGUGCUCUUGUGCUCUGAGGAGAAGGCAAAGCGAGUGGCCUGACAACCUUUUGCUGGUGUUUCUGAAGUAGCAACAUUUCAUAGUAUUCAAUCACACAAAGGACUCUGAAGAGUUUAGGCAAUAUCAAUGGAGGAGCAAAUGACAGGGAAAGGAAUAAAUAAAGAAAUUCACUAGAAUUGCAAAUGAAAACUGCCUAAUAAUAUUACUUAGCUGAAAACAUGUGCUUCCCCUUAAGAAAAAUGAAGAAUGAUUCUGAGGGCAGAGCUGCAGGACAAGAGGGAAGAAUACCGAAGCUAGAAGGUAAAACUGACAGCCACUGAGGAUUAUUUCAAGGUGCCAAAAUGUAAUGGAGCCUCACAUGCUGGAUUUCAAAAUUAUUUGGGUUGAUGAUUCCUUUUUUAAUUCUAUCUUCUCCCUCUUUGAACAGAAAUGCCUCUAACAGGGAAACUAUCUCUGUCCUACCAUUGCGUUAUGAAAAGAGUAAAAUGUUCUCCUGUUUUACAAGUCAAAGUUUGAAGAUAAAUUUUUACCCAUAAUGGAUCAUACCCAUAGUCACAACCAAUACCAGAUUUACAUGCACUUACAUAAUCUAGAUUAUGGCUAUUUAUGAUCUUCGACCCUGGUUGUCUACACCAGGGACAAUAACCAGCUGUCCACCUGGAUUGGAAUAUUUGCAUCAGAUAAAUCAGUUAACAGUGUGUCAACAUUUUGACCCUCUGGGAGCCCUCAGAAAAUUUGAAACUAUUAAAUUAUAUGAAAUCUUGAACAAUCAAGGACAGAGAAUUUAUUUUGCAGAAGAGAGAAAUAAUUGCUUCCUUCGACACCUUUGUGGAUUUUCAAGGCCUUUUACUGUGACAAUUUAUGAUAAUGUGGGUAGAGAUGUACUUGCUCUGCAUAAGGCUCUGAAAUGUAGCUGUUGCUGGAGUAGAUGCUGUCUACAAAAGCUAAAAGUUGAAGCUCCACCUGGUGAAACAAUUGGAUAUGUUUAUCAAUACUUUCACCCAUUCUUGCCAAAAUUCAAAAUAAAAAAUGAGAAUAAGGAGGAGGUAAUGAAAAUUAAAGGGCCAUGGUUGGUCUUCACCUGUCUCAGAGAUCUAAACUUUAAUUUAUUGACGCUGGAUGAGGAAAUGGUUAUUGGAAAGAUUUCAAAACACUUCUCUGGAUCUGUGAGGGGAAUAUUAACCAAUGGUGAGAAACUUGAGAUCCAGUUUCCAUUUGAUCUUGAUGUUAAAAUUAAAGCACUGAUGCUUGGAGCAACUUUCCUCAUUGUGAAGCUGCUGCUACUCCUAAUGGGGACCACACUUGAGAAUCUUGGCACUCGAACAAAUUACCAGACUUCAGCCAGAAUUCUGUGGGCUGCUAAAGUCAGCAAGUUGAGAAAAUUAUGAAGGCUUAUGAAACUCUUUAGAGGACCACUGGAAUCAUCCACAUCACCUCAUCUUUAUGCAGCAUGGCUGGGGAUCUUCAGGAUGGAAACAGCAACAUAUUAAUGCAAGCACAGGGCCCUAUGUGACUACCUGACAAUCAGGCCUAUGAAGCCAGCAGUGGCCAGAGGACAGUAUCACUUUACAUAUUAUAGCAAGCUAAGUAUUUAUAGAAUAAGAAGCCAUAGCUUUGAAUUAUAGCAAAUACAGAUCUGAAUUCUACCUCUGUCUCAUAUUACCCACUGAAUAUUGAACAAGUUAUGUUAUUUUCUAUUUCCUAAUAGAAAUGUGACCAUGCAAAUUAAAACUUCUGCUUAAGCUCCAAU